GGGUUAGGGUUAGCGGUUAGGGUUGGGGUUUGGGUUAGCGGUUAGGGUUAGGGGGUUAGGGUUAGGUUUUAGGGUUAAGGUUAAGGUUAGGGUUAGGUUUUAGGGUUAAGGUUAGGGUUAGGUUUUAGGGUUAAGGUUAAGGUUAGGGUUAGGUUUUAGGGUUAAGGUUAAGGUUAGGGUUAGGUUUUAGGGUUUGGGUUAAGGUUAGGGUUAGGUUUUAGGGUUAGGGUUAGGUUUUAGGGUUAAGGUUAGGUUUUAGGGUUAAGGUUAAGGUUAGGUUUUUAGGGUUAAGGUUAAGGUUAGGGUUAGGUUUUAGGGUUAGGGUUAGGUUUUAGGGUUAAGGUUAGGUUUUAGGGUUAAGGUUAAGGUUAGGGUUAGGUUUUAGGGUUAAGGUUAGGGUUAGGUUUUAGGGUUAGGGUUAAGGUUAGGGUUAGGUUUUAGGGUUAAGGUUAAGGUUAGG
ensembl:lncRNA